GAAAAAAAGAAGAAAAAGACCUUGUCUUUUUACAAUGGCUUCUUCUUCUUCUACAUCUGAUCAUUCGAAUUGUGUUUCGAAGGAAUCCAGUAUUAAGAGAUCGAUUGUUCACAGGUGUAUUAGCAGGAGCUUUUGCCCCCAUGGGGCUUACUUGGUGUAUCCUUUUAUCUUCUCUUGUACUAUGUUACAUUUUUAUUUUGUUCAUUUUAAAACUAAGAUUCUUUGCUUAUUUAUUCACAUUGUUCUUGUUUGGCGAAUAUGUCACUGAAAUUUGUGUGUGGUAAUGUUAAAGAUCAUAGUUUUAACAGUUAAACCGUAAUGUAUUCAUGUCCUGUACUAGUAGAGAAACACCAGAUUUAAAAUGGUUAAUGUGUGUUCUGAUAAUUUUGAUUUGCAGUCUCGGGGUUUGCUUUUUGAAUUGUAAAUCCUCCGGGUUUGCUUUUUGAAUUGUGCUUCCUCGGACUUAGCCUUUUAAUGAGCACUAGUUGAAUAACAGUUAUCUUGCUACCUUAAGAUGUCCUUCCCUCGUUUGCACGGAGUGCCAGUAGCAUGGUUCUACUCGGUGUACCAGUAGAUGUAGAGAGGGCUUUCAAAGAAAAUUUUUGCUGAAAAUUAAGAUUGUGUGUGUUUCAACAAAAGAUGCCUGAAUUUAUACUUUAAUAAGAUGAAUUUGGGAGGAGUUUACACAUUCUUUUUGAAGGAUUUGCUUUGAUUACCUUGAUUUUGCUCCAUUGCGGUGUAAGUGUUAGUCAAUGUAGAAGCUAGAGUAAUGCGGUUUAGAGAGCCAAGAUUGGAUGUGCUAGAACUUCAGGCAUCAAACUACUGACUGAUGAGUAUAAAUGUAUUACAAUUUAUUAGCCCGAAGAGUUCAUUUAUCAUCAUAAUGAGAUUGAUCCCAUUAUCCUUGUGGAAGUUGUCGAUUCUCUUGAUUCGCUGGAUUCUUGGAAAAAACUAGAUGGAAUUAGAUGAACUUUUUGACUAUGGCAGUUGACUUGCUGAGAACUCUAAUUCUCUUGUCAUUUUCAUCUACCCUCAAAACUUCAUACUGGAUUGUAAUUGCAUUUGAUCUGUAUCAUAAGCUAAAAUCUUUUUGUUGUAUUAGAUAACGAGAAUUGCUAACAUACCCUAUUAAUGUGAGCCAUAUUGUUGAGUUGAUCAAUGAAGUGAGAUUGAGUUAUUAAGUUCUUAUUUCUUCUUUGUAUUGGUAUGUUGAGUUGGUAACCGAAGUUUCGUGAAAAAAGAUUGAACUUAUGUGUAAAUGCGGAUACACCAAACCACUAACAAUGGUCAUGUGAAUAUUCACCGAAACUUUGUCCA